rnacentral:rRNA from 1 species
CCCUUAGAUGUUCUGGGCCGCACGCGCGCUACACUGAUGCAUUCAACGAGUUUCUUCCUGGUCCGAGAGGAAUGGGUAACCUUUUGAAAGUGCAUCGUGAUAGGGAUAGACUAUUGCAAUUAUUGGUCUUCAACGAGGAAUUCCUAGUAGACGUAGUUCAUCAGACUGCAUCGAUUACGUCCCUGCCCUUUGUACACACCGCCCGUCGCUCCUACCGAUUGAGUGAGCCGAUGAAACUGCCGGAUGUGGACUAUUCAUAGUCUGCAGAAGAUAUUUGAAUCGUAGCGCUUAGAGGAAGGAGAAGUCGUAACA